CCUACGGGUGGCAGCAGUGAGGAAUAUUGGUCAAUGGGCGCGAGCCUGAACCAGCCAAGUAGCGUGAAGGAUGACUGCCCUACGGGUGGUAAACUCCUUCUAUAAAGGAGUAAAGUGAGGCACGUGUGCCUUUUUGUAUGUCCUUUAUGAAUAAGGAUCGGCUAACUCCGCACCAGAAGCCGCGGUAAUACGGAGGAUCCGAGCGUUAUCCGGAUUUAUUGGGUUUAAAGGGAGCGUAGAUGGGUUGUUAAGUCAGUUGUGAAAGUUUGCGGCUCAACCGUAAAAUUGCAAUUGAUACUGGCAGCCUUGAGUACAGUUGAGGUAGGCGGAAUUCGUGGUGUAGCGGUGAAAUGCUUAGAUAUCACGAAGAACUCCGAUGGUGAAGGCAGCCUACUAAACUGCCACUGACAUUGAUGCUCGAAAGUGUGGGUAUCAAACAGGAUUAGAUACCCUAGUAGUC
rnacentral:rRNA from 1 species